GGAACCUGACAUCAGCACAUUGGCUUCCAGAUCUACGCACUGUGAGUGAAAGCUUCAAUUUCACUCACCAUCUUGGAGACUCCAGGCAGGCUGCAGUGGGGUGAGGGGAGCAGUGCAGAGCCGACGACAUCUCAGGCCCUGAAAUGGAAUGUUUUGCCAAGCUACAACUUAAAACGGGAUCAGCAAAAUGUUUUCUUUCUUGGCAAUCAUCAUGAAGUCAUUGUCCAAUUGAGGACAUUAAACACUUCAGAGCUUCACUGUACGAGGUCUCCUAAAAGAACUGUGGUUCUUGGAAUCGAAUAUCUCACCAGCAGUUACACAGGGGUGCACUUGUCAUUACUUCAAGGGACUCUUGUGAGGUGAGAGGGGUUAAUCUCUGUGGCAAGUUCUGAGCACCUACCUGAAAAGUGCUAAGUAAACACAAAGUAGUGUUACGAUCAUUAUUUUUACAAGGUUGAAAUUUAGAGACUGUGCCGCACCUAGAAGAUAAAAGGCCAGAGAAUGUAUUCUUCAGCACUUUCUAGGAGGAGGGUGAGAAAGAGGCUCAAGUGAGAAGAAAACUCACUGUCAGAAUAUGAAGCAGUAGAGUUGUGUUUGUGCUAUCUGCAGGGGGUGACAUUUUGGUUUGAAAAUAACUGUUUUGGGAGCUUUUUCUGAAAGUCAAGGAAGCCCAGUGCCCUGAGCCCCACCAAAUGGUGUUGCUGUAUUAAUUACCGGGCUUACCCGAGGCUGACUUGAAUGCCUCUGUCAUCACAUGCCAACCUCCCUAACUGGAUACAUUCCAGGGUCGAAUUAAGAUGGCUUCUGACAUAGUUUAGGUAUGAAAAGACAUCUUAGAAAGCAGCUGACACAAAAAUUACAGCCCCAUUCUCCCCCAGUGUGCUUCUUUUUUUAAAGCCCUUUUCAGAGGGGAAAAAAGGAAGUUCUAGAAAAGGGACCCAGUAUUCAAGUUCAAGUGGUUGAAUGGUUCCUGGUCCCCAGAGACAAAAUGACAAAAUCAAUAUGAUCUUCUCUGAGCUCGGAUUAGGGAUGUUAUUGACCCAUCAGAGCCUCUGAGGGUGUGAAUCAUACUUUAAACUCGUGGUGAACUUUGUUUUCUUCAUUUCAUUGUGCCUGCAUUUUCUGCACCAGCAGUCAUUCUCUGAGAGCCAGAGGAGCAGGUGACCCAACUUGGCAUUUGUUAUCCAAAUACCUUAGUAGGAAGAUAGCAUACAAAUCCUAGGGUGACAUGCAAAUCAGGAGUUUUCUGGAAGCAGCCGGGUAACAGCUCGGUUUAGCCUCUGGAUAGCAGCAAAAC
rnacentral:lncRNA from 1 species